rnacentral:rRNA from 1 species
UUGGAGGGCAAGUCUGGUGCCAGCAGCCACGGUAAUUCCAGCUCCAAUAGCGUAUAUUAAAGUUGUUGCAGUUAAAAAGCUCGUAGUUGAAUUUCGGGAUCAAUAUAUCGGUCGUGCCAUCGGUACAUACUGGUAUGAUUGGUUUCUCCUUUCUGACGAACCAUGAUGUCAUUAAUUUGGUGUUAUGGGAAGUUAGGACUGUUACUUUGAAAAAAUUAGAGUGUUUAAAGCAGGCUUUAGCUUGAAUACAUUAGCAUGGAAUAAUGAAAUAGGACGUUCGAACCUAUUUUGUUAGUUUCUAGGAUCAACGUGAUUAAUAGGGAUAGUUGGGAGCAUUAGUAUUCAAUUGUCAGAGGUGAAAUUCUUGGAUUUAUUGAAGACUAACUACUGCGAAAGCAUUUGCCAAGGAUGUUUUCAUUAAUCAAGAACGAAAGUUAGGGGAUUGAAGACGAUCAGAUACCGUUGUAGUCUUAACCAUAAACUAUGCCGACUAGGGAUCGGAUGAUGUUAAUUUUUUAAUGACUCAUUCGGCGCCUUACGGGAAAC